UAGCUCAGUGGUAGAGCGCUUGCCUAGAAAGCGCAAGGCCCUGGGUUCGGUUCCCAG
rnacentral:tRNA from 1 species